AAGCUGCAAAGGCGGGAAGCUCCCUAGGGAUCACUACUGAGCUCCGACAGAGCCAAACUGGACAGCAAAUUACAGCAUCAGUUGCCACCGCCCACCUCAGCAAUAAAAGUCCCAGAUUUAAAAUACAGGAAGCAGAUUUCAUCAAAGGAGUUCCUUACUGUGAAAAGGCACAAUGAGGUUCAUGUGACAUGUGUUUGAUGAAAGGAUGGGAAGUAUGGGAAGGACACACAGACACACAGACUGCUUCAGCCAUAGGGAGCACUCUCCAGGAUCAUGGGAUGAAUAAUGUCUUCUCUUGUCUUCAGUUUGGGAAGUUUUUUUUUUUAUCACAUAUUUUUUGUGAAUAAUAUAUUUAAGAAUUUUUCAUACU
rnacentral:lncRNA from 1 species